GACGAACGCUGGCGGCGUGCUUAACACAUGCAAGUCGAGCGGUAAGGCCCUUUCGGGGGUACACGAGCGGCGAACGGGUGAGUAACACGUGGGUGACCUGCCCUCAGCUCUGGGAUAAGCCUGGGAAACCGGGUCUAAUACUGGAUAUGACUCCAUGACGCAUGUUGUGGGGUGGAAAGCCUUGUGCGGCUGAGGAUGGGCCCGCGGCCUAUCAACUUGUUGGUGGGGUGAUGGCCUACCAAGGCGACGACGGGUAGCCGGCCUGAGAGGGCGACCGGCCACACUGGGACUGAGACACGGCCCAGACUCCUACGGGAGGCAGCAGUGGGGAAUCUUGCGCAAUGGGCGAAAGCCUGACGCAGCGACGCCGCGUGAGGAUGAC
rnacentral:rRNA from 1 species